UCCUUGAGCUCAGGGUCUUGGCAAUGGUGU
rnacentral:piRNA from 1 species